GUCAUGGAGAGUUUGAUCCUAGCUCAGGACUAACGCUGACGGUAUGCCUUAUACAUGCAAGUCGAACGGUAAGGUCUCUUCGGAGAUACACGAGUGGCGGACGGGUGAGUAACACGUAGGAAUCUGCCCCAGAGCGGGGGACAACCAAGAGAAAUCUUGGCUAAUACCCCAUACGACUUCGGUUAAAAGAUUUAUCACUUUGGGAGGAGCCUGCGUUUGAUUAGCUUGAUGGUGCGGUAAAAGCGCACCAUGGCGACGAUCAAUAGCUGGUCUGAGAGGAUGAUCAGCCACAAUGGGACUGAGAUACGGCCCAUACUCCUACGGGAGGCAGCAGUAGGGAAUUUUGCGCAAUGGAGGAAACUCUGACGCAGCAAUACCGUGUGCGGGAAGACGCUCUGUGGAGUGUAAACCGCUGUCAGGUGGGACGAAACAAAUGACUGUACCACCAAAGGAAGCACCGGCUAACUCUGUGCCAGCAGCCGCGGUAAUACAGAGGGUGCAAGCGUUGUCCGGAUUUAUUGGGCGUAAAGCGUCUGUAGGUGGUUUAGUAAGUCUGAAGUGAAAGAACGGAGCUCAACUCCGUCCCCGCUUCGGAAACUAUUAAACUAGAGAAUGUUAGAAGUAAGUGGAAUUUCCAGUGUAGCGGUGAAAUGCGUAGAUAUUGGAAGGAACACCAGAGGCGAAAGCGGCUUACUGGGACAUUUCUGACACUGAGAGACGAAAGCGUGGGGAGCGAAAGGGAUUAGAUACCCCUGUAGUCCACGCCGUAAACGAUGAGUACUAGUUGUCAUGGGAAUCGACCCCUGUGGUAACGAAGCUAACGCGUUAAGUACUCCGCCUGAGUAGUACGUACGCAAGUAUGAAACUCAAAGGAAUUGACGGGGACCCGCACAAGCGGUGGAACAUGUGGUUUAAUUCGAUGCAACGCGAAAAACCUUACCUGGCCUUGACAUCUGUGGAACUUGGUAGAGAUACCUCGGUGCCUUCGGGAACCGCAAGACAGGUGCUGCACGGCUGUCGUCAGCUCGUGUCGUGAGAUGUUGGGUUAAGUCCCNNNNNNNNNNAAGACUGCCGGUGUUAAACCGGAGGAAGGUGUGGACGACGUCAAGUCAUCAUGGCCCUUAUGGCCAGGGCUACACACGUGUUACAAUGGUCGGUACAACGGGCAGCUACUUAGCAAUAAGGUGCUAAUCCCUUAAAACCGAUCUCAGUUCGGAUUGAAGGCUGCAACUCGCCUUCAUGAAGUAGGAAUCGCUAGUA
rnacentral:rRNA from 1 species